AGAGUUUGAUCCUGGCUCAGAACGAACGCUGGCGGCAGGCCUAACACAUGCAAGUCGAACGAGAAGCCACCUUCGGGUGGUGGACAGUGGCAGACGGGUGAGUAACGCGUGGGAACGUGCCUUUCGGUUCGGAAUAACCCAGGGAAACUUGGGCUAAUACCGGAUACGCCCUUCGGGGGAAAGAUUCAUUGCCGAAAGAUCGGCCCGCGUCGGAUUAGCUUGUUGGUGGGGUAAUGGCCUACCAAGGCGACGAUCCGUAGCUGGUCUGAGAGGAUGACCAGCCACACUGGGACUGAGACACGGCCCAGACUCCUACGGGAGGCAGCAGUGGGGAAUAUUGGACAAUGGGCGCAAGCCUGAUCCAGCCAUGCCGCGUGGGUGAAGAAGGCCUUAGGGUUGUAAACCCCUUUCAGCGGGGAAGAUAAUGACGGUACCCGCAGAAGA
rnacentral:rRNA from 1 species